ACUCAAACCAUCAAAAACACAUUCUCUCGCGCCUAACUCUAUCUCGAACCAGCAGCAACCCAGAGCAACAAACCCUGCAGCAAUCCAAUUUAUAAAACAGUCUCUCUCUCUCUCUCUCUCUCUCUUUGCAGCCUUCAGCUUUGAUCUUUUUCAUUCUGGAUCUGAUUCAUAGCCGCUUAAUCUCGAAGCCCCGAUCUAUCGUCAGCUGAGGUUACAUGUUGCUCGGGUUUUGGCAAAUUAAAAACCCAAGCUUGAGCCCUUCGAUCUCUCUUCGUGAAACCCUAAAAUCCCAUUCCUAGAUGCCAAGUUAUCUGCUGGUAUAGGUCCUAUCGAAUCUAUGCCUUAUCAUCUCCGGCAGAAGUCGCCGCUUCCUAAAUACGAACCCAGCUUUUGGUCAAAUGCAAAUAAGGGCACUUUUCUAUUCUCAUUGCAAAGAAUUGGUAUCCAAGACUAUGAAUUUCCUGGAACGAAGGUGGGAGGUUCCUGUUCCUCGUGCAAUUGAAGUUAUUUAUUCUUCUUCAUCUGGAGAGGGCACUGAUCCUCGCUUUGUAAAAUUGGCACCAGUAUUUAGAUGCUCAAUGUUGAAGUCUGGUGACAAAAAAAGGCUGAUUCCACAGUCUCACUGGUUUUACCCUGGUCUACAGACCCAGGUAUCAUGCGCAAGGCUGAUUAUCUUUUCAAACUUUUGUUGAAGAGUCCUGUUCCGGCACCUCUGGCAAUAGAGUUGGCACUCUUUGGCAGGAAACAUGAUCUCAUCAAGCUUGGCACUCUAAAGGGUGGGAUAUGCAAAAAAUAUGGGAUCAACAAGACUUUGUUUACUCUACAGCUUCGGAUCUGAACAACUUGGUGCAAUAUACACAGGGUCCACUGUAGACAGUUGAAUCAUGGAACCUGAACAAAACAUAGAGCAUACAUUGCUUCGUCACAUAAGACCGUAUCAAAUUACUUUCAAAAUCAGAGUUCGUGCAUCCAGACUGUGGAGACCGAAAAAAUAUAGUAGUGACAUAUACGAUGGCCUCCAUUAUCUGUUAGUCGACGAAGAGGCAAGCUUUUUACAAUUUUCUUUUUACAAUUACCAUAAUUGUUUCAAAACUCUUAACAUAACUUUCUUCAUUUCUAAAUCUGUGCAAAACAUGCUAUUCACGGUUUAAUUGAGGAAUCUGCUUAUCCUUACAUGUCCAAGAAAAUGGACGAAAGACAGGUGUAUGACAUUACCUAUUUGUAUAACCGAAAACCUAUAUGAAAAUAUAAACUUGCCGAUCAUGUGGUAGAACUGUGUUUCAAUGAGUCAACAAAGUUUGAGCCUGUAAUGGAUGCAUUCCCUCCAAUCCCAGAACAUUCAUUUAACUUCCUUCAUUUUGACAACUUGGAGGACCAGAUGAGGACUCAGACAGUACUUAAGGAUGUUUAUGGUUGUAUCAAAUCACUCAUACCAGAACAUCAAGUUACUGUCAAAGACACUGGAAAAUUGGAAUCAAAAUGUGAAAUCUUUGUAGAAAAUUUGAGGAGGGAGGAUAUCAGAAUUACCUUCUGGGGUGACAUAGCUAGAGAGUUUGAUAUGGAAAGAGUUAAACAGUUAUCCCCACCAGUGCUCGCUGUAUUCACGGGUUUAAGGUUGACCAAAUUCCAAGAACGGGUAACAGCAGCAACAACAGGCCAUACAUGCAUCAUGAUCAAUCCAGAUAUUCCAAUAGCAAAUGAAUACAAAUGGGGAACGAGGUCAAAUUUGGUUUACACAGACAAGGAUAUUGAUGAGAUCCGAGCAGAAUGGGCUAAGCAUGUUUUGAAGUUCCCAGAAAAUUAAGUAUCAGCCUAUAUAUCUGCUUUGGUUUUUGGUAGCUAGGUUAUGAGCAGUAGUAGUGUCCAGGAACUGCUUUUGUGCAUUUUGACAAAACUGAUGGAAAGUGUUGAACAAUAUAAUGCAUGCAGUUGUUGUAACUACUAUAUGGAUGCUACAAGGUUUUUGUCUUAGUUAGAUUAGGAUCCAUGCAACAAUGGCAGUAAUUAAAAUCGGUUAAUGUAAAGGCUAGCAUGCUAGCUAGUUUAAUUAGUAUUAUGCAACUGAUGGGAAUGUAUUUUGGUGGGUUAAUUGAUGCAAUGAGGAAUUUGCUGAUUUCAGAUCUUAUAA